AGAGUUUGAUCAUGGCUCAGAACGAACGCUGGCGGCGUGCCUAACACAUGCAAGUCGAACGUGAUCCAGAGCUUGCUCUGGUGAAAGUGGCGCACGGGUGAGUAACGCGUGGAUAACCUGCCCUGGUAUCUGGGAUAACAUCUCGAAAGGGGUGCUAAUACCGGAUAAGCCUACGGACUCCUCGGAGUCUGCAGGAAAAGGAGGCCUCUAUUUAUAAGCUUCCGUAUCAUGAUGGGUCCGCGUACCAUUAGCUAGUUGGUGGGGUAAUGGCCUACCAAGGCGACGAUGGUUAGCUGGUCUGAGAGGAUGAUCAGCCACACUGGAACUGAGACACGGUCCAGACUCCUACGGGAGGCAGCAGUGGGGAAUUUUGCGCAAUGGGGGAAACCCUGACGCAGCAACGCCGCGUGAGUGAUGAAGGCUUUCGGGUCGUAAAGCUCUGUCAGAGGGGAAGAAAUGAAACGUGCUAAUAUCACGUUUUCUUGACGGUACCCUCAAAGGAAGCACCGGCUAACUCCGUGCCAGCAGCCGCGGUAAUUC
rnacentral:rRNA from 1 species